UACGGAGGGUGCAAGCGUUGUCCGGAUUUAUUGGGUUUAAAGGGUGCGUAGGUGGCCGCUUAAGUCCGCUUUGAAAGCUGGUCGCUCAACGAUCAGGGGUGGGUGGAUACUGAGGGGCUUGAAUGAUGUCGAGGUUACUGGAACGGGUCGUGUAGCGGUGAAAUGCAUAGAUAUGACCCAGAACUCCGAUUGCGAAGGCAGGUGGCUAGGCAUCGAUUGACACUGAGGCACGAGAGCAUGGGGAGCAAACAGG
rnacentral:rRNA from 1 species